GGGGGUGGAGAGCUGGGUGAUUAGCCUUGAAUCUAGGAUGAGACCAAAAAGAACACAAUCUCUGGUAACUUAAUCCGCAGGUGUUUGGGUCUGAACAAGCAGUCAGUAUCAAAUACCAUAUUUACUUCAUUCUAAGGUUCUUUCCCCACUGUGCCUUGGGGCAUGGAGCGUGGCCUCAGCUCAGCCUUGUGGCAUGGCACCUUCUACACAAGGCAGGGGCCGUGAGGCCAGGGAAAAGAACGAGAGCACUCGUAUCUCGACCAGAAAUGGAUGGAUGAGGGGGAGGCAUGCCCGCCUUAGCUCUGAGAGAGAGCAUUUUCUCUGAAUCCCUG